GUNGCUACUACCGAUUGAAUGGCUCAGUGAGACCUCCGGACUGGCCCAGAGAGGUGGGCAACUACCACUCAGGGCCGGAAAGUUGUUCAAACUCGGUCAUUUAGAGGAAGUAAAAGUCGUAACAAGGUCUCCGUUGGUGAACCAGCGGAGGGAUCAUU
rnacentral:rRNA from 1 species